rnacentral:rRNA from 1 species
AUACGUAGGGUGCGAGCGUUGUCCGGAAUUACUGGGCGUAAAGAGCUCGUAGGUGGUUUGUCGCGUCGUCUGUGAAAUUCCGGGGCUUAACUCCGGGCGUGCAGGCGAUACGGGCAUAACUUGAGUACUGUAGGGGAGACUGGAAUUCCUGGUGUAGCGGUGAAAUGCGCAGAUAUCAGGAGGAACACCGGUGGCGAAGGCGGGUUUCUGGGCAGUAACGGGCGCUGAGGAGCGAAAGCAUGGGUAGCGAACAGGAUUAGAUACCCUGGUAGUCCAUGCCGUAAACGGUGGGCGCUAGGUGUAGGGGUCUUCCACGACUUCUGUGCCGUAGCUAACGCAUUAAGCGCCCCGCCUGGGGAGUACGGCCGCAAGGCUAAAACUCAAAGGAAUUGACGGGG